AGUGAACGCUGGCGGCGUGCUUAACACAUGCAAGUCGAACGAGAACGGUCCUUCGGGAUGUCAGCUAAGUGGCGGACGGGUGAGUAAUGUAUAGUUAAUCUGCCCUUUAGAGGGGGAUAACAGUUGGAAACGACUGCUAAUACCCCAUACUCCUUUUAUCUUAAUGAUAAUUGGGAAACGUUUUUUCGCUAAAGGAUGAGACUAUAUGGUAUCAGGUAGUUGGUGGGGUAAGAGCCUACCAAGCCUAUGACGCCUAGCUGGUCUGAGAGGAUGAUCAGCCACACUGGAACUGAGACACGGUCCAGACUCCUACGGGAGGCAGCAGUGGGGAAUAUUGCACAAUGGAGGAAACUCUGAUGCAGCAACGCCGCGUGGAGGAUGACACAUUUCGGUGCGUAAACUCCUUUUAUAUGGGAAGAUAAUGACGGUACCAUAUGAAUAAGCACCGCUAACU
rnacentral:rRNA from 1 species